CUUGAUAAAACAUAAGAGGUCCAGCCUGCCCAGUGACAAAAUUCAACGGCCGCGGUACACUAACCGUGCGAAGGUAGCAUAAUCAUUUGUUCUUUAAAUAAGGACUAGUAUCAACGGCACCACGAGGGUUAUACUGUCUCCUAUCUCUAAUCAGUGAAACUGAUCCCCCCGUGAAGAAGCGGGGAUCUAGCUAUAAGACGAGAAGACCCCAUGGAGCUUUAAACCCAACAUGCACCCCCUCACCUAAACAUCAACUUAACCUAGAGGACCUGCAUGCUGGUUUUAGGCUGGGGGGGCCACGGAGUAAAAUUAAACCUCCAUAACAAAUGGGCUAACACCCUUACCCACGAUUUACAAAUCUAAGAAUUACCAAAAUAAUGUUUAAUGACCCGAUAAUUCGAUCAAUGAACCA
rnacentral:rRNA from 1 species